GGGGGGACGCAGUAGGAUAGGCGAAGCGUGCGAUUGGAUUGCACGUCUAAGCAGUAAGGCUGAGUAUUAGGCAAAUCCGGUACUCAUUAAGGCUGAGCUGUGAUGGGGAGAAGACAUUGUGUCUUCGAGUCGUUGAUUUCACACUGCCGAGAAAAGCCUCUAGAUAGAAAAUAGGUGCCCGUACCGCAAACCGACACAGGUAGUCAAGAUGAGAAUUCUAAGGUGAGCGAGCGAACUCUCGUUAAGGAACUCGGCAAAAUGACCCCGUAACUUCGGGAGAAGGGGUGCUCUUUAGGGUUAACGCCCAGAAGAGCCGCAGUGAAUAGGCCCAAGCGACUGUUUAUCAAAAACACAGGUCUCUGCUAAACCGUAAGGUGAUGUAUAGGGGCUGACGCCUGCCCGGUGCUGGAAGGUUAAGAGGAGUGGUUAGCUUCUGCGAAGCUACGAAUCGAAGCCCCAGUAAACGGCGGCCGUAACUAUAACGGUCCUAAGGUAGCGAAAUUCCUUGUCGGGUAAGUUCCGACCCGCACGAAAGGCGUAACGAUUUGGGCACUGUCUCAACGAGAGACUCGGUGAAAUCAUAGUACCUGUGAAGAUGCAGGUUACCCGCGACAGGACGGAAAGACCCCGUGGAGCUUUACUGUAGCCUGAUAUUGAAAUUCGGCACAGCUUGUACAGGAUAGGUAGGAGCCUUUGAAACGUGAGCGCUAGCUUACGUGGAGGCGCUGGUGGGAUACUACCCUAGCUGUGUUGGCUUUCUAACCCGCACCACUUAUCGUGGUGGGAGACAGUGUCAGGCGGGCAGUUUGACUGGGGCGGUCGCCUCCUAAAAGGUAACGGAGGCGCUCAAAGGUUCCCUCAGAAUGGUUGGAAAUCAUUCAUAGAGUGUAAAGGCAUAAGGGAGCUUGACUGCGAGACCUACAAGUCGAGCAGGGUCGAAAGACGGACUUAGUGAUCCGGUGGUUCCGCAUGGAAGGGCCAUCGCUCAACGGAUAAAAGCUACCCCGGGGAUAACAGGCUUAUCUCCCCCAAGAGUUCACAUCGACGGGGAGGUUUGGCACCUCGAUGUCGGCUCAUCGCAUCCUGGGGCUGUAGUCGGUCCCAAGGGUUGGGCUGUUCGCCCAUUAAAGCGGUACGCGAGCUGGGUUCAGAACGUCGUGAGACAGUUCGGUCCCUAUCCGUCGUGGGCGUAGGAAAUUUGAGAGGAGCUGUCCUUAGUACGAGAGGACCGGGAUGGACAUACCUCUGGUGUACCAGUUGUCGUGCCAACGGCAUAGCUGGGUAGCUAUGUGUGGACGGGAUAAGUGCUGAAAGCAUCUAAGCAUGAAGCCCCCCUCAAGAUGAGAUUUCCCAACUUCGGUUAUAAGAUCCCUCAAAGAUGAUGAGGUUAAUAGGUUCGAGGUGGAAGCAUGGUGACAUGUGGAGCUGACGAAUACUAAUCGAUCGAAGACUUAAUCAAA
rnacentral:rRNA from 2 species